GCGACGGUGGCGGAAUUGGUAGACGCGCUAGCUUCAGGUGUUAGUGUUCUUACGGACGUGGGGGUUCAAGUCCCCCCCCUCGCACCA
rnacentral:tRNA from 5 species